AUUGAACGCUGGCGGCAUGCUUUACACAUGCAAGUCGAACGGCAGCACGGACUUCGGUCUGGUGGCGAGUGGCGAACGGGUGAGUAAUACAUCGGAACGUGCCCAGUUGUGGGGGAUAACUACUCGAAAGAGUAGCUAAUACCGCAUGAGAACUGAGGUUGAAAGCAGGGGAUCGUAAGACCUUGCGCAACUGGAGCGGCCGAUGGCAGAUUAGGUAGUUGGUGGGAUAAAAGCGUACCAAGCCGACGAUCUGUAGCUGGUCUGAGAGGACGAACGGCCACACUGGGACUGAGACACGGCCGAGACUCCUACGGGAGGCAGCAGUGGGGAAUUUGGGACAAUGGGCGAAAGCCUGAUCCAGCAAUGCCGCGUGCAGGAUGAAGGCCUUCGGGAUGUAAACUGCUUUUGUACGGAACGAAAAGCUUCGGGUUAAUACCCUGGAGUCAUGACGGUACCGUAAGAAUAAGCACCGGCUAACUACGUGCCAGCAGCCGCGGUAACAC
rnacentral:rRNA from 1 species